CGUUCUUGAAGGAAAAGGCAGAACAUAUAAAUGUAAACAUGGUUUGUUUUUGUCUGGGUAUUGCAGCACAAUAUAUCAUCAGUUUGACAUGUGCAGUGCUAGUGACGUUUAUUUCAGUAGCUCUGUGUAGGACAGUACUGUAACUGGUUUGUGUUAAUUGUACUCUUGACUUCACUGACUAGCUUAAAAGAAAUAAUAGAUACACGGCACCACAUUGUCCCUCUGACAGUGUCUAAUAUCUUUAAAUAGCCUUCAAAAUAUUUUGAGCCAUAGGAAAGAAACUAGCUGGGUAGAUUCUCCCUGCCCCUUUUAUAUUAAAGUUUUAUCCCCAAGGAAAUGCUCUUCUUCAUUCUGCUAAAGGAGUGUUUCUCAUUUUUCAGACAGGAAAAUCUUACAGGUUAAGUCAUGUCCUAUAGGUCACAAAGCAAGCUCGCUGUUAUGACUGGAACCCAGAACUUUUGAUGCCCAGAUAAAUACCACAAUAACAAGAAAAUUACUUUCUAGAAGGACACAAUGAGCUGUGUUGCACAAUAUUAUGUUCACAGGUCAAAACACGCUGGCAUAUGCAUUUCAACAUGCAACAUUUCAACAUGCAACAGCAUUUCAAAUGUAUGUAUAGACAGAAGGCAGUAGAAAAACUAGUCAUUAUAUUAAUUCUAAAUUUUCACAUCAAUACUUAACUGUUUCUGUUUGGACUGCUGACUGCAAGAUGAUUCCUAGCACCUUCUGACAUAAAUGAAAGGUGGUGUAACACAGACUGGCUCGAGGCUUAUACAGCCUUUAAAAUUAUAAAAGUUACUUACAAGGUAUUAGAUUAAUUGAAUUAUUAAUGUUAUUAGUAAAGAUUUUUGCCAUCUGUGUGCAUGUUUAGCAAACUUUUUAUUUCCAAGUAACACUCCUAGCUGAAGACUCUGCAUCUAAUUGAAAAUGUUAAAAAAAAAAAAAAAAAGGCAUGAGAUGUUCUAUGGAGUUCUGUAAUAUUAAGGAUCAGUGAAGGGAGUACUCCCAGAGCUAUAAAUUGUAUCACCUUUAUAUAGAAGACACUGCUAAUAUGAACAGAUUGGAAUUUUAAUUACUUUUUAAAAGUCUUUUGGGGGCUAUGCUAUUCAGAACACUAUGUAAAGAAUACUGUGAUAGAUUUGAGCAUUAAAACUGAUACGAUUUUGUAUUUGUCCUACGUUGCAAUCUUACCUUACAUGUAAUCUUUCAAGGAUAUCAGAAUUUAUUUUUUUUUCCUAACAAAAGCAAUCUUUCAUAAAAUCUCUUGCAUGUUUAACUUAGAAUCCGUUGUUGAGAUCUACAACAUACAUACCUACUUAUAUACAUACAGACCGUAGCAAAAGUCAGAUUCCCUCUGAACAUGUGGUCUGUCAAUAUGUAAAAAUAUAUUUAUCAUAUGACACUACUAUCAAGAAAAAUAUUUGCUUAGACCUAGGAAUCCUGAGAUUAAAUUCAAGGAAGGGAAUCAAAAUCAGUAACACUAUAUUCCAGUCCCUUUUAUAUCUAAUAGGAAUCACCUGACACACAAUUGUCAUUUUUUUUACACAUUUUUAUCACUGAAUAAUAAGCAUUAAAAAAUGAGAGCCAAGCACAUGGCUUGAGAUGUGUACUUAAACCUUUGAAUUCAUAUACUUGCUUCAAAUUGUUUAUUUUAAGUAUUUAAAUUAUUUUGAUUCGAAAUACUAUGUCACAAAAACCUCUGGAUCUGAUACAGCCCCAGUGGAAGGACUGCAAAACUCAUCUGUAAAUCUGUCCACUGAAGCUAGCAGCAAUUUGCCUGUGAAUAGGCUGUGAGUAGGUUUCAAUAUUAAAUAUUUUGUAAAAGAUAAUUUUGCUGUCUGGUUGUUUUCUAAAUAUGAGCAAAGCAAAGAUGUCUUUUAGCUUCUUCUUAGGGCUUUUGAUUUCUUUUAAUUAUAGGACCAAGAGUCAUUAACAUGAACCAACAAAUUCAUGGUGGUGUUCUAAAAGUUAGAACAGUAGCAACUAGGUAAUAUUUUUCAAAUAUAAUUUCCACAGUGGAAAAGAUAUUAAAUGUUUGUUAUGUGCCAGGAAAUGAGUAAUAUGAGAAUACUUUUGUUCUUUUACAAAAUGGAAGAGCAUUAACAGCAUUUUAGGUUUUUAUUAUAUGUAAAGUUUUUUUUGAUUACCAACAGUCUCAUAAUAGAUAAAUAAAAAUAGCAGAAAAGACAUGCAGUUAUUAAAUAGGCUGAAUAAGAUAAACCAAUCUCAUUUAUGUAUGGAAUAAGCCCAUUAUUAUCUCAAGUUUUGAACAUUACUUCAACUGUACGUACACUGACUAUUUAAAAUGUUAUUCAGAAUACAGAACUUGGGUCAUCCAUUAUAAUGUUAUAUUUACUAUGUUAUUUGACUUCUGAUAUGUUAGAUCCAGUUUCUCACUGAAUUAAGACACAAUCAAUUCUGCUUCAGUCAGUACUGAGGGGAUACCAUUGCAGCUCCCUGUACCAUUACAUGUAGGACAUAUGACUACAUAAAUAACAGUAUCAGAGUUUGAACGCAGGAAGCAGUACUGUACCUGUGUCACAUUGAAGCUGUUCAGAAGGGCUCAGAUAAGCCAUCUAGUUUCACAUGUGUUAGAGAAAGAUGUGGGGAAGGGAAGAGCUAUAGCAAACAGAGUAGCAAAUUGACUGCAAGAGAUAAAUCACUAUUCAGAUGCUGUAAGUCUAUAGAAUAAAGACCUAACUAGUUUUCUCAAGAGGGGACCAGAAAUGUGGCCAGAAGUAAGGGUAAAGGAAGCAGACCAGUAUUCAUGAUGAGCCUGCAAUGUAUCUUUUCCUUAAAUGGUUAGUUAUGGAAGCAGAAAUCCAUACAAAAAUAAACUCCAUUAAUAAAUGGUCACUACUACAUUUCUCAAUUAUACUAAACUGUUUCAGACUUUGUUCAUUUGUUGCCAUUGAUGGCUGAUUAAAUACAUGUAAAUGGUUUUGUUUUCAUUUUCCUUAAAUUUUAAAUGUGUAUAAACGUUUUUAUUCCCAAAUUUAAACCACCAGUGCCAAGAUUCUGACUGAAGCGGAUCUUUAUGGUUGUAUUAUAAACAAGUGCAAAUAUAAGUUAUGAGGUACAGAGCUGACAUAAUGUUAAUUAUAGCUGGAAGAUUUGCCAGUGUGUAUACAGUGUGGAAAUGCAAGGAAUCAUUGUAAGUUAAUAAAGAUCAUUAAAAGAAAUCACACAUUUCAUAAUCAUGCUCUCAUCAAGAUAGUAUGACCUAUUUUAUACUUAAGCAAUUAAAAUAGAAGCUGAAAUAUUUGGAGAUGAUUAACUUAUCCAGUAGUCAGACUUGACAGGUGAUAUUACCCAAUAAAUAAUCACUGAGUGACUGGAAUUCUUAACCAAAAUGAUUUUUUGUUGACUUCUAGGUUGGUUGUUUGGUUGGUUUUUUUUUAACAAAAAGCCACUUAAAAGUCGUCUUUAUAUUUCCAAAGACAAAUUAUAUUUUGUAUAUUCCUUUAAAAGAGAAAUCUACAGCCUUGCCAUGACUGCUCUCUGAGGCUUUUGGAGACCUCAGUGGUGAGAACAGCGUAAAUAUCUAACUAGAUUGCAGCAGGUUAAUUUUGUAUCAGAGGAAUCACCAAGAUAUUCAUAUAUAAAGCCAGGGAAUCUGUGCUAGUCAUUUCUGGAGUUCAGAACUAAUCCAUAACAAAAUCAUCCCAUGACUGGAGUUGGCAGUAAGGAGAACUGAGUGUGUCCAGAAGAUCUUCAGAUUGGAGUAUGAAUCAAACAUAGACUCUGUGAUAUAAUCUGGACUCAUAUUCAAAUAAUCUAGAUACAGUAUCUUGAUAAUUCAUAUAAAAUCAUCUUAUCUUAUAAAUUUAUUCUAAUUUGUACCAGAAUUUCACAAUAAUAUUCUUCUAAAACUCUGGGUAUAUCUGAAACCAAAAGGAAAACAAACCUUUUCUUAGAACAUAUCUGAAAUGAAAAUUGUGGCGUUUUUGUUCCAGUCUGAGCAUUAGGAGAUGAAUGUUGCAAAUUCAAGAGAUUCUAGAUUCAAGGUCUGGGCCCUGAUUUGCCCUCUAGCCAGUCACAGAAAGGUGUAAAAUGCCUUCAUUGGAACCUCAGCAAGGUGAGGUACUGCAUGCACUUCACCUAUCAGAGGGAGCAGUUACAGCUACCAGCUGAUUUCAGAAUGCAUUUUUAUCUGCAAUAGUAGGCCAGGGUAAGUCAGCUCUAGCCUUAAACAUAGUAUCUUUCUGCACCAGCUCUAUUCCUAUCUCUUCCUUUGCAGAUUAUCCAGUUAAUAAACAGAAAGUUCCAAGAAGUCAAAAAAAACCCCCCAAACCCAGAGGUAACUCCUUUUCAAGAUGCUCCUGCCAGAAAGUAAAGACUGAGCCACAGCUGCAAUUUCCUGAUAACACACUUCUUGCUAACAUUCCGGUAUUUCUGAUCGGUAACUAAAAUACUAAUUUCCUCCAGAAAACAGGGGACAAAAGGAGUGUCCAGGAUGUGUCUCUGAAGGUCUACUUCUACUUUUUGCCAAGGGCUGGUGCACUACUGAAAUUUAAGAAAAAUCUUAAAAGAUUUAGACUGCAAUUUCUGAAACUGAAGUAUUAUUGUAUAGAAAUUGUAUUAUCUGAAGUAUUACUAUAUAGAAAUUUACCUCCUCAAUGCAAUUUGUCUACUUUUUCUCCAAACAUCACAGAAGCAAAUUAAAAUUUAUAUACACCAAAAUAUUUUACAAAAGAUUUUAAACUACUCUGUUAUUUGAGAAAAGAUUCUGGCAGCGCUGAUGGAAUUUGCUUUAUGUACUGCUAUGGUUUAUACUUGUUCAUUGUAUAAUUUGUUUUAUUUCAACUGCAACUCAACAGGAUCACAAAGGAAAGUAUGAAUAAACAUGAAUUUGAGAUGUUGCAACUGAGCACACGAGUGUAAUGAUGUUAAAUUUUUCCCUACAAAUCAGCUCCUUGCAAGAAGCUUUAAAUGUCUGAUUUCCUCCACAGAACUCAAACCAAACCACUGAUGUUAUUAAAAAUGAGUAGCUUGCCUGCAUAUGUCCCUUACAGCAUCAUUCUCUUAUAACUGAUUUGUACAAUACAAAAGCCAAUACAAAAGAUUGCACAGAAAGGAGUUUGCUCUUACCCUACCUAAGCAGUUCCCACAAAAGCUGCCACUGAAACUUCUCUCAGUACACGCCAGAGAUUUCUACAUUGUGAAAGCUAAGGAAUUUGACUGCAUGGUUUUUAAAGAAACCAACAGGAUCAUCAGUUUUAUACGAUUACGUUUUUGCCUGCUGAUAUUCAUCCAUUCUUGAAAGGAAAUUAAAGCAAUAUAAAAAGACAGGAGUUACACUGAACCAGUAGUGUUUUACUUUUCUCAUGCUCGUGAAUGCAGAUUCCAAUUAAAAAGCGAUGAUGGUUAGACCUUUUGUAUCUUAUUUUCCCUUCCAAUUUGUGAAAUAUAGUUAGAUAGAGCACUAAAAUAAGGAUGAAGAGAGAAGGAUAGAGGUAGCAAGGCAUCUAAAUGUAUAUCUAAAUAUAAUCAAGAUUGUUUAUGUCAGUGAGCUCUCCAAAAGGAUAAGCAUGUGUUUAUGUGACUUUCUCAGUCAGGGAGAUGGUUCGCAAUGCUUCCUCAUGCAUUGUAUCCUUUAUUGAUCAUAUUUCAAAGGCCUUUUUUUCAAGAUUCUGAACAACUAAAUCAAAAGUUAAAUUAUUAUCCCAGUUGUAGAAAUGGAGAAAUUGAAGUAUUGAAGUUGUUUACUAUUAGGGAUAGGAUUAGAUUUCAUGUCAUCACUCUAAAUCUUGCAUCCAGUCUUCUAGCACUGACUACCUACCAUAAUGUGACACACGUUCACAUGUUUGGUUUUAAGUGAUUAAUACCCAGGGAAGAGCAAUUGCCUGAAUAUCAGGCAAAUGACUAAAAAUUUCUUAAGGAUAACUCAACGUUGAAGAUAAAAGACCUAACAUUUCAUGUUACAAUUCUCAUCUUUACUGUUUCUCAGGCAUGCUCUGAUUCAUCUCUGCAGAAUACUUCAUAUACUGUAGUUUAACUUUACAUUUCUAUCAUGAUACCAACAAUUUUCCAAAACAGCGAUUUCCCUACACACUGAGUAUUGCUAGCUCUUAAAUCAAAUGUAUACUGUCUGCUUCCAUCCCUGUUCUCUGUCUCAAUUAUUAUUUUUCUGAAGAUAAGAAAAUCCCAUUUUUACCACUGGAGAGCCAGGCUGCUUAGGUCACAAGAUUCUCUUGGCUUAAUCCUUGAGUAUGAAUCAUGAACUUUCCCUAAUAAGUACUGGCAUUCUUCAGAUGAUCAAGCUAGCUUACUAAGGCUUCCAGAGCUUUCCACAUUAAUUAUCACCAUGUUUGAAGUAUCAAAAGCAGUAGCUGAUUAAGAAUUAUUAAGACUAUAAGUUGUUUAUUCUUACUUUUUGUUUCUGUCCUCUAUUUCUCACUCUUAUGUGGGUUGAUACUGUAAAUGGCAAUAAUACAACUCAGUUAAAAGAAAACAAAAUGUGAAAAAGAAUACAAAAAAGAUAAAUCAGACAGAAAAAUAUCGAUGUGAAAAAUUGGAAACAAAGUUAGUUGCUUUCUACACUACAUGGCUCAAAAGUAAGCUAUAAAUGCCUACGACUCCAGUUCAGAAAAAGCUUUUUUUCUCACAUUUAAUAUCAGAAAAUUGUGACAUAACCAGACUAAUAGUAAGCCUCUACUCUGCAAAUUACUUAUAACCCCUGCAAAAGAAUCAUACACUCUACUGAGAAGUCAUAGUAAAUGCCAUGUGAUUAAGUAAGAGGUCUGUUAAGAAAUAAAUAAAAUGAAGUCCCUAAAAAGAAACAAGAAACUAUUUCUUAACACUUGAAAGUGGGAACAGAAUAUUCACUCUAGAUUCAGAGUACAGAAAAUUGCUAAGACUGGACUCUACUAAGUACUUUAAAUCUGGAAACAUGAAGAUCCUGGGCACUUCAGGAAAGAUUUUAUAUUCAUGCAGCAAAUUUAGAUACUAAAGCUAGUAAAAGUAGAACAAAUAUGAACCUAUUCAGUUUAGCUACCAAAAAUAUUUUUGUAUCUUUUACCAGGAUUAGCACAUCUAAAUAAAGAUGCAAGUAAAUUCCUCAAACAGUAUUUUAAGUGUGGCAGAGUAUGACAGGAUAAAAGUAUAUUUAAUGUUUGCAAAAAUAAGUAGGUUUGUACUUAACUGGCAGUUAAUUAAAAAAUGUGUGUCUAUGGGCCCAUUAUAUAUGUAUGAAUAACAGGACACACCCAAGUCAUAGUCAAAAUCAUUUGGGAACUUUUAUGAAGACAACAAAUAUUUUUACAAUAGCAGUGAUUAAGCCUGAAAAUAAAAGCAGAAAGCUCUGAAAGGAAAUCAGAAGUGAGUCAAAAUCACUAGUGGUUACUCUCAUAUUUAUCAUCAGAAGUGAGUCAAAAUCACCAGGCAUUACUCUCACAUUUAUCAUUAUAUAAACUGUAGUAUAAGAAUGCAGUCAAGAGGAAAAGAAGAAACAAGAUGAAAAGAGCAAAUCCAAGACACAUCUUUAGUAUUAUUUCCAAAGCUGACAAGUUCAAGAAAAAUACUACGAGUAGUAUUAAAUAGAAAAGGCUUCUUUGAGCUCUCAAAAGAAUGAGUUCUCAAAAAAGAACUAAAACCAGUGAAAUAACAUUGCAGUUUAUGUUUCUCAGAAAUACAAGAAUCCUUUGAAAUCAAAUUUGGAUACUGUAUUUAGGUAUUUACAAAUUUAAAAAAUACACAAAAAUAUCUUAAAGGUUCAGUACAGUCCUUUUUUGAGGCAUGAUUUAGUGACAUACUUGAGCAAGUGAGUAGCUGAACCUGAGUCUUGCUUCCAAGAACUUCCAUAAUUUAGCCCCCAAGUUCAGGAAAUGACUUUAAGUCAUACCAACCUGAUUCAGUAAACUAUUUGAAGACACAGCAUACUAAGCAUUGAAUUUCAUAUUUGCUAUGUACUUUACCAGAUAAACAGAAUCUUUCUCCAGAAUGAAGGUGUCUCUGCAGAAAGAGUAAAACAUCCUCUAGUUCUAUUAACUAUUUUUCUAACUAAGUACAGAAUACAAAAGUUGUGUAGAAGAUCUAGAAUGGAUGGGUAGAGAUCUAUGUCAUCCCUGUCUU